UCCUGAGCUGACGUGAUGGCAUGUGUGGAGGCCAAGCACACAGGACACAGAAGUGGAUUCAGAGAUUUGUGUGCGGAAAGUGAGGGGAAGCAGGAUGGGGUGCCGGGAAAAAACGCACUGUGAGGCCAUUCCAAGGGAGGCCUCAACGGACCCCAUGGGGAGGCAGGGGCUGGAGUCACUCAUCAGUUGUCCGGAAAUGAGGCAAGGGGACUUUGGAGAGCCUUGGGUCCUAGAUCCCCGCGUGAGGCAGCUUCCUUGUGCCAGGGGCAAUUCCUUCCUGAGCUCUCAGAUUUCAACACCUGAUCCUGAAGGGUGGCCUGUGCGGCCACCAUUAUACUAGAGGUGGCAGGCUGGUCAAUGAGCGUGAGGUUGGCCUGUGGUCUGAGAUGUGGUCUGGUCAGUGACCAGACCCGGCCAGCCUCUGUAGAACAUUCAGUGAAAAGAGCCUCUCAUGGUUUAGGGGAGAGGGCUGACAGGAUCAGAUUUUCAUUCUAGAUUGCUGUGGGAGCUCAGGAGAGAGAGCAAGACUGAUGAGAAACAUGAAGUGUGGCCAGUGCACAGAAGAUGUCUAAAGACACAGGAGUGGCUAGGACCUCACAGAGCCUGGGGAGGUAAGAGGGGGGCGGAGCUUAGCGCAGAGUCUGGGGAGAGCGGCGACACUUACAGGGCGGGGAGAUCAGGAUACUCCAAGGAGUUGGGUGUGCAAUAGUGCAAUACAUGGUCUUUCCUGGGUGGGUAAAUUGGAGAGCUAAGAGAACGAAAGCUCCAGGGAGGAAGGUGACAUCACAGACGGAAAAGCCCUCCUUUCCUCCCCCAACACAUGUACACUCAGCAGUGGCUUGGUAAGCUGAGUUCAGCCGGCUGCCCCUAGAUGGCAGUGUACGCACAUAGCAGGAGCUGCCCAGCAAAACUCUCCAGGGACAGCAAGGGUCUCCCAUGGGACCAGCAGAAGCUCACCAGGGCUGUGAGAGGGACCAGGAGAGGCACCCAUGAUGCCUGCUGCAUCCACCUAUGCUCUGCUUUGCUGCAGGGGCACAGUCUUGGGUGGAAGAUUGGACAUAAAGCCAAUGGUUCUGGUUCGACCACUUACGGGCUGAAGUGACUCCCUGAGACUACUUUGCACAUUCGUUUUAUAAAUGCGUACCUUCAUGAAGCCCA